rnacentral:lncRNA from 1 species
UACUAAUUAAUUCACUGAUUAUCACAUUAAGAUGUUUCUUCUUGGAGCUGGGUUCAUAGUUUCAUCAGAUUUUAAAAUGGGCCAAUGUCCAAUGCCCCUGGCCCACAAAAUUAAGAACCAGUGACUUACAUACAGAUAGCAGUAUAUCCUUUAUAAACUUAAGAAUACCUACACCCCCAGCAACCAUUUAUUUAAUAUAUUCCAGGAACUACUUCUUGAAAACCCGUAGUGCACUAAUAAUGAGUAGUCUGUUAUUUGUUUUAGCCAAAUGGUAAGAUUUGCUAAUGUUCCACCUUAAGUGCCUUUUCCAAAGACAUCCCUCUUCGCCUUAUAUGUUGAAUCAUCGAGUGUGGAUAUUUCAAUGAAAAUAUCAUUAAUUGACUUUUGUGAUGGUAAUAAAAUGCUGUGGCAUCUUUGCUGUGAAGUUAUUGUUUCCUCGGAUUCUUCUGACUUUGGCUCCUGAAAGGAAGGCCUAGAUCCAGCCCUGGUAGUAGUUCCUUUCUGAGGUCUCUCAGUCUCUUAAGACCCUGAGUUAGUUUGGCUGCCAUUCUCACUAACAAAAUGUGUAUCAGCCCCUAUCCCUGCCCCCCUUCAGAACACGGGUGUGGCCUAAAGGUAUUCCCUUAUUAGGGAAAUGUCAUGACUGCUGUCUUCUAGUAAAACUUGUAAAGAAAAAGAUUCCAGUUCAGUAUUUGCAGCAAGAAGCUUGAAUCCUGUUCUUUUUAUUGCAUUGUUACAUUGACUCAUUCUCCAUUUUGCUUUGGUUUUGUUUUGACUUGACUUUGGGGGUAAAGUCUUUCAC